rnacentral:tRNA from 2 species
GCCGAUGUAGCUCAGUUGGUAGAGCGCAUCCUUGGUAAGGAUGAGGUCACCGGUUCAACCCCGGUCAUCGGCUCCA